GACGAGGUGAAGGUGCAGAGAGCAUCGUCGUUGGAGGUGUCGAAACAAGCAUGUUGACUGAUGACAUGUCAGAAGGAGAAGGAACAGACUCAGAAGAAAACUUGGUGCAUGGACGAGCAGAGAGGGUUUUCGUGGGAGGCGUCGAGAUGGACAUGUUGAAUGGACAAAACAUGUUGGAUGGACAGGGAACCUGCUCAGAAGGAAGCUUGUUGGAUGGAAGAGCAGAGAGGGUCCUCGGGGGUAGCGUUGAGAAGGACAUGUUGGAUGAAACCAGUGGACGAGGACCAGCAGAGGGCAUGGUUGAAUCACUCGGAGCAGCAGAGAGCAUCUUCAACGGACCAGGAGGAAGCAGUGGACAUGACAGCAAGGUUGGAGGAAAAGAGAACUGGCCACAGCGUGUCAAAUCUGCUCAACGUGACUUCAGAGAGGAACUGAAGAAGUUAAAUGAUGAUUCUUAUUUAUGUGAAGACAUAGGCACUGUUGUAGCCAAUUUAGAGUUCUGCUAUGUGUGUAUGUAUGUGUGGGUGGAGGUUGUCAUUACAUCACUUGCGCACCUGUGGGCAUGGGAGGUGAUUGGCAAUCAGAGGUUAAGUAAGGGAGA